UUCUGGAAAAGGACAGCUGAGAGGGUGAAACUCCCGUCCGCCUGGUAGAAUGAGUCUUUGUCAACGAGUCGAGUUGUUUGGGAUUGCAGCUCUAAUUUGGUGGUAAAUUCCAUCUAAAGCUAAAUAUUGGUGGGAGACCGAUAGCGUACAAGUACCGUGAGGGAAAGAUGCAAAGAACUUUGAAAAGAGAGUUAAAGAGUACCUGAAAUUGCUGAAACGGAAGCGAAGGAAACCAGUGUUUGUUGGUUCAUAUUUCCUUGGCCACUUGUGGUUUGGGCG
rnacentral:rRNA from 1 species